rnacentral:rRNA from 1 species
CCUACGGGAGGCAGCAGUGAGGAAUAUUGGUCAAUGGGCGCGAGCCUGAACCAGCCAAGUAGCGUGAAGGAUGACUGCCCUACGGGUUGUAAACUUCUUUUAUAGAGGAAUAAAGUGAGGCACGUGUGCCUUUUUGUAUGUACUUUAUGAAUAAGGAUCGGCUAACUCCGUGCCAGCCGCCGCGGUAAUACGGAGGAUCCGAGGGUUAUCCGGAUUUAUUUGGUUUAAAGGGAGCGUAGAUGGGUUGUUAAGUCAGUUGUGAAAGUUUGCGGCUCAACCGUAAAAUUGCAAUUGAUACUGGCAGUCUUGAGUACAGUUGAGGUAGGCGGAAUUCGUGGUGUAGCGGUGAAAUGCAUAGAUAUCACGAAGAACUCCGAUUGCGAAGGCAGCUCACUGGACUGCAACUGACACUGAGGCUCGAAAGUGUGGGUAUCAAACAGGAUUAGAUACCCCUGUAGUC